rnacentral:misc_RNA from 1 species
UCCGGUUUGUCACCGGCAGUCUCAUUAGAGUGCCCAACUGAAUGCUGGCAACUAAGAACAAGGGUUGCGCUCGUUGCGGGACUUAACCCAACAUCUCACGGCACGAGCUGACGACAACCAUGCACCACCUGUCACCGGCCAAUUGAAGAGCUCCGUCUCCGGAGCCCCGACCGGGAAGUCAAGGGCUGGUAAGGUUCUUCGCGUUGCCUCGAAUUAAUCCACAUAAUCCACCGCUUGUGCGGGUCCCCGUCAAUUCCUUUGAGUUUUAACCUUGCGGCCGUACUCCCCAGGCGGUCAACUUCACGCGUUAGCUUCGUUACCAAGGAAUUGCUUCCCCGACAACCAGUUGACAUAGUUUAGGGCGUGGACUAC